CCUACGGGAGGCAGCAGUGAGGAAUAUUGGACAAUGGAGGCAACUCUGAUCCAGCCAUGCCGCGUGCAGGAAGACGGCCCUAUGGGUUGUAAACUGCUUUUAUACAGGAAGAAACGCCGCUACGUGUAGCGGUUUGACGGUACUGUACGAAUAAGGAUCGGCUAACUCCGUGCCAGCAGCCGCGGUAAUACGGAGGAUCCAAGCGUUAUCCGGAAUCAUUGGGUUUAAAGGGUCCGUAGGCGGUUUUUUAAGUCAGAGGUGAAAUCCUGCAGCUCAACUGUAGCAUUGCCUUUGAUACUGAAAGACUUGAGUUAUUGUGAAGUAGUUAGAAUGUGUAGUGUAGCGGUGAAAUGCAUAGAUAUUACACAGAAUACCGAUUGCGAAAGCAGAUUACUAACAAUAUACUGACGCUCAGGGACGAAAGCGUGGGUAGCGAACAGGAUUAGAUACCCUGGUAGUCCACGCCGUAAACGAUGGAUACUAGCUGUUCGACCAACAUGGGUUGGUUGAGUGGCUAAGCGAAAGUGAUAAGUAUCCCACCUGGGGAGUACGCUCGCAAGAGUGAAACUCAAAGGAAUUGACGGA
rnacentral:rRNA from 1 species